AAUUACCCCCUCCAUUAUCACCAAUAACACUUGAAAAAAAAAUCUCCUCUCACCCCACAAUCCACCAACUCUAGCUCUACAAAUUCUUGUAACCAUAUCAUGGUUUUAAUCAUUGCAUUUUUAAAUUUAAAGUAAAACUAACUUAUGCUUAUCUUGGUCAGCUUGUAAAGUGACAACACUCCCUAAGAUUUUUCACCUUGAAUAUAAAGAACGUAAUACCAUUAGAUAAAUAUAGUACAUCAGGC
rnacentral:lncRNA from 1 species